UGAGAUUGCGCCACUGCACUCCAGCCUGGGUGACAGAAUGAAACUGUCUCAAAGACAAACAAACAAAAAUGCAUCAGCAGAUCAGCCUGCUUACCACACUGUUGCUCUCCCAGUAGGACUUUGUGUCCCAAGAGUGUCUUAGUUUGUUUGGGCUGCUGUAACAAAAUACCAUAAGUGGGUGGCUUGUACAUGGCAGACAUUUAUUGCUCACAGUUCUGAAGGCGGAAAAGUCCAAGAAUAAUAGGUGCUGGCAGAUUCGAUGUCUGACUUGUAGAUGGUGCCUUAUAACUCUGUCCUCACAGGGUAGGAGUGAGGAUACUCUGUGGGGUCCCUUUUAUAAGAGCACUAAUCCCAUUCUUGCAAGCUCCACCCUCAUGACCUAAUCACUUCCCAAAUCCCUCCUACUUCUCGUACCAUCACUUUGGGGUUAGGCUUUAAAAGGUGAAUUUGGAGUUGAUGUUCAGUGGCAAGAAUUAGCCAGCUCACAACCAGUGUGUGAAGGCAUCUGCAGAACGGAGCACUGGCUUCUAGGGAGAGCACACACAUAAAGUUCUACAGAUGGUCAGUCACUAUGCCCUGAGGGUGAAUUGAGGAGAAAGGGAAAGGAUCUCCGGUCCUGUGAUCUGAAGAAGGGAAAGGUCUUUGCAAAGUUGGAGAAAUUGCUAGUAGUCACUCCAGCGCUCAGAGGAUGGGAGCUGGGGAGAGGUGAUCUGUGGGCACAGAUAAGGCCACUCUAUGAGAUGGGGAAGAGGAGGCCUUGGAAGAUAAGAGGCUGAAGGUGGGGACCGGUUUCUGUGUUGAGGGGAGUGUAGUUCCUGUUAGAGAUUUUGUCUUUGGUGGAAUGUGCGAGGCCUAGAACUGGGCAGAGAACCCCAGCUUUAGGUGUUGGUUGAGUAGCAGUUAGGGGGGCCAUGCUGUUUGCUGCUUGGCAAAAAUGCAACUAGCCUUAAAUUGAAGGUAGUAUUUCUUCAAAGGUAGCAAACUUAUCCCAGUUUGCCCAGGACUUUCCUAGUUUUAAAACUGGAGGUUGUAUGUCCUGAGAACUAUCCUCAGUCCCUGGCACACCAGGACAGUUAGAUAAAACCCUAGUUUUAUCCUCUCCUGUCCCGUGGACUCAUGCCUAGCCUGUGUCUGUUAGGGACUCCCCUGUCCAGAUCUGUGAAGUCCUGGGUGUGAAGUGGGCCUCUCCAUGUAGUCUAAGCACCUGGGGCUGUGGGUCCUUCCUCCUCCUGGUCCUGCCUGUUCCCUCUGUCUUUGCUGCCAUUGCAACAGUAGACAGGCUUAGGGCCUUGCUGCCAUUGCAACAGUGGACAGGCUUAGGACCUGCCUGCCUCCCCCGAUCCUCGCCAUGGUGCCAAAUGAAUCACUCUGAAACUCCUGCCCAGGAGCUCAUGGCCUCUCAUGGCCUGCUUUGGAGCAUCAGAAGGGAGGGCCUCUGACUCCUGGUCCCCCACUUUUCCCAAGCUCAUUUCCAAGGCUUCAAGUACAUCCUCAAGCCCUAGGUCACCUCUUUCCUCCCACCUUGACUCCCCAUGUACCACCCCACCACACCUGGCUGCUCUAAGGCAUUGCUCUGGGCACUGCCCAGUUUUACCACUCCAAGCUCAGUGCCAUUUUCAGGGGUCCAGUGCAGACCCCCGAUGCCAGGGGCACCUGUUACCUUGGUUGCUGACACCUGAGCUACCUCCUGGGCUUGGUGCCUCAUGGGCCUUACGUUUUUGUCCUCUUGUAAAGCACCAGUUCUGUUUAUAAAAGCAGGAACCUCAUUUCUGUUUCUAUAUGCCCUUCUUUUCUCCACCCACCCCAAACACACCCACAUAGUCCUGGGAACUACAGGGCCCUUGGGUUUUUGUGUGCGUUUCUGUUUGUUUUGGGUUUUGCUCAAUGGGCAAAGACCACAGGAUUUUUUUUUCCUUUUUCCAGAUACUCAAGUUUUUUUCCAAAAUAAUUUUUUCUGGUUAUAAAAACAGUACUCAUUUUUAACUCUGAAGGCUGAAAGGGGUAAGUAAUAAAAUAAAAAUAACCCAAAAUCCAACCUCCCACAGACAACUGUCACUAGUGAACAUUUCACAAACGUCUUUCAAGAUAUACUACCUUUAUAUUCUUCUCUACAAAGUAGGAUCAUUUGAAGGUGAGUAAUAAUUUUUAAAGCUCUUUUGAUUGAGUGGCCACAGUGUAGCAAGCGUUCUGCUAAAUGUCUUAAGGACCUUCCCAUGAGGAUCAUCAUUCCCAUUUCACUGAUGAGAAAACACAGGGUCGGAGAGGUUUUCCCCACAUUGCACACACAGCUAGUUGCAUGGCAGAGCCAGAAGUAGAACCCAGACUCCUGCCCUUUUCCCAUGCACAGAUUUUGGAUAAAUGGGUCAUUAAAUUUGCCAUGUAGUGCCAGGCUCGUUGGCUCACGCCUGUAAUCCCAGCACUUUGGGAGGCCGAGGAGGGUGGAUCACUUGAGGUCAGGAGUUUAAGACCAGCCUGGCCAACCUGUCUCUACCAAAAAUACAAAAAACUGGGCGGUGGCGGCUGUGGUGGUGGGGGCCGGUACUGGACCCGGCAGGAUGAGCGAGGUGGAGGCGGCAGCGGUGGCGACAGCCGUCCCCGUGGCGACCGUGCCCGGGGUGGUAGCGGUGGUGGUACCAGUGCCCGCAGGGGAGUCGCAGAAAGCAGGCGGUGGGGUGGACAGCGGCGGUGGGGGCGGAGCUGCCUCGGCCCGCUGCAGGGACCCCCUUGGCGCCUGGCCCCCGCGCCCCCCACCCACCCUGCCCCCCAGCCCCCCGCGCCCGGAGUCAGGCGGACAAGCAGGUGCUGGCAACCCGAGUCCUGGGCACUGUCAAAUGGUUCGACGCCCGGAAUGGUUACGGACUCAUCAACAGGAAUGACACCAAGGAAGAUGUCUUUGUUCACCAGACAGCUAUUAAAAGAACCCCGGGAAGUUUCUGCGCAGCGUUGGCGAUGGGCAGACUGUGGAAUUUGAUGUCGUGGAAGGAGAGAAGGGCACAGAAGCCGCUAAUGUAACCGGGCCUGGGGAGGUGCCCGUGAAGGGCAGUCAUUAUGCCCCCAGCCGACAUAGGUUCCGCCGAUUCGUCCCCCGGCCUCCCUCAGUUGCCCCACCACGCAUGGUGGCAGAGAUCCCUUCAUGGGGGACAGAACCUAGCAGCGAAGGGGAGCGGGCUGAAGACUCUGGGCAGCGGCCCAGACGACGGGGCCCCCCACCCUUCUACCGACGGCGGUUUGCGCGAGGCCCUCAGCCCCCCAACCAGCAGCAGCCUGCAGAGGGCACUGACGGGGUAGAACCCAAAGAACCCCAUUGGAGGGGCACCAACAGCAGGGAGAUGAGUGGGUCUCCCGACCCCAAUUCCGGCCCAGGUACCGAAGGCCUUUCCGCCUCAGGCCGCCCCGGCAGCCUACCACGGAAGGUGGGGAAGGUGAGACGAAGCCCAGCCAAGGGCCUGCUGAUGGUUCCCGCCCUGAGCCCCAGGGCCCAGGAAACCGCCCCUACUUCCAGCCGAGAGGGCAGCGGGCCCUCGCCCCGGGCAGCCCCUGAGACCUCAGCCCCUAUCAACAGUGAAGACCCCACCACCACCAUCCUGGAGUGGUUCCAACUCAAAGGACACCCAGAGCUGCCAUCUGGUAUCUACCAGUUUUUCCGACUGACUUGUACCCUACCCAGUACCCUGCUCCCCCUUUCCCACAAUUCAUGGUAUCACAACACCAUCUUUUCACCUUUUCCUUGAGACUCAGGAGAGUCAAAGCAACAGCCUUUUGCUUUUUUUUCCUUCCCUUAUCAGGGGUUGAAGGAAGGGAGCCAUCCUUACUGUUCAGAGACACCCACCCCCUCCCCUAACUCAGGCUGAGAAGGAACCAGCCAGCUCUUAACCCCUCCUGUUUUUCUUCCCUCCCUCCCCAAGUUUAUUUUUGUUUUCUCCCGGCCCCCCACCUCUGAAGCCAUUUUCUGAUCUGUCAUGUGCCACCUGAGCCUCCAGUAAAAACAAAAGCAGGCUUUCCUGUGGUCUUGGAAAAAAAAUACAAAAAAUUAGCUGGGCAUUGUGGCAUGUGCCUGUAAUCCCUGCUACUCAGGAGGCUGAGGCAGAAGAAUUGUUUGAACCUGGGAGGCGGAGCUUGCAGUGAGUCGAGAUCACAUCACUGCACUCCAGCCUGGGCAACAGAGCAAGACUCCAUCUUAAAAAAAAAACAAAAAACAAAAAAAGCAACGUACCGUGUAGUAUAUUGGACUCUGUACUGUGUGGUAAAGAAGACUUGGGAUGGGGGAGAAGAAAUAGACUUCGGGGGUAUGAUGAGGAUAUGCAUUUUCCAAGGAUCUAGGAUUUUUGCCUCCUCCCAAAGGCCCUCUGCCUCUUGCUCACCAUGGCAUAGCAUUCUAAAGAGGACGAUACCACCCAGUCACAGGAAGACAAGUUGGCAGAGUUGUCAUUGUGCACAUUUUCCCAAGUCAGAUUUAUGUCUGUUGGGUUUUGCCUUUUUAUUCAUUUUGUGCACCAUUUCACUCCAGCCAGCAGAAUACCCAGACACCGAUUAGUGAUGCCUCUGCACCGAGGUCCCCGCAGAAGGAAGCCCAUUGUUGCUCCCUGUGCUAAGAAAUGCCACAUGAACACAGACCCACACAUGUGUGUGCACAGGCUGGGCAGGAGCCCAGCUGGCAUGCAUUUGCAUUUCCCCCGCACACAGAAGGUGAAGGAGGAAGGCCUGCCUGCCGGCAGCAUUGAAGGAGAAAAACCACUUCAAAGGCAUUUAGACCCGCAGGCUAAGCGGAGGAGCCCAGGGUCACUAGAGGCAGCACCAGCCCUAGACUCAGGAAAAGGAGUUAUGCUUCAAAGCUGGAGGACCAAAGUGCUCACCUGCAAGCAUUAUUUACAUCUGGAAAGUUAUGUCCGCCUAUAAUCACCUACCUUGUGGAACUCGGAGUAGCUUAUCUAACUCUGCCCUGAGACAGGAUGGUGCUGGCAUGCAAUCCUGUGUCCAGCUCUUGCCGGUCUAGGGCCCCUCUUGCCUAGAGAAGCUAUCAGCCCCCCACUCAAGCUGUUUGUGGCCUUGGGCCAGAGGGUGAACACCACACUCUCACACCAUCCUACUUGCCCAUGGUCUGCCUCCACGUGGCCCCAGGAGGAACUGAGGGAUGGAAGGGCAGUUUGGAAAGCUGAGGUGUACUCUUUCCCUUGGCACACAGUGUGGUUUCGUGCAGCCACUUGGUAUGAGUGAGGCUGGGGCAGAGCAGCCCUGGCUGGAUGUGACACAGGCAGUACCUCCUGCCUGAGCUCCGUGAGUGGCAUUCGGCCACUUUUGACCUUGCUUAUGUGGCUGUGAGUUACCCCUCCACGACCCCAGCACCCGAACUGACCACCCCCCCGCCACCUCCACAGUUAACUAAGGUUCUCUGAGAAGCUCCCUCUUUCUCCUGUGGCUGAUUUCUAGAGCAAACCUCCUAGAAAAUUUCCAGUGGAUUCAAAGGGUGGAGCCACAUUGGAGUCACAGGUUCCCUGGGACAUUCUUGAGCUAGACUCAGGGAGGAAUGCCUUUUAGAAAAGGUGACACAUUCUGGCUGCUUGUAGGUUAAAGGUAGGGUCUACUGCACCUGGUGAAAAAUCCAGCGCUCACCUGGGUGUGUUCCUUUCGGUAUCUGAUGCCAAACACCUGGAUGUUUACACCAGGAUGAUAGAGUGAAAUUCCUGCAGGAGUGACACAAACAGGCAGCCUCAGACAUCUCAACUCAAGGAGACUCCUGAAUACUGCUCUGGCCAGAGUUUGCCACAUGUGGGUGGUAGGUCCGUCUGUUACUGUCCCCUGUGAGAUCCAGCACUGAGGCACAAAGGACAGGAGAGGGUGGAGAGGGGUGGCAGCUUGAGUCUCAGUGGGUGUGAACUGGCCGGCCCCCUGGCUCAGUGCUCCCUCCUCCGCCUCCUUUGAACGGGAGACGUGGCAUGUUGCUAAGAAGGGCAUCUCAGCAUCUGCUGCUCAGGUGAGGUGGACAGUGAGGAAGGGGACAUGGGAGGUCUGAGGCUUCAAGGCUAGUAUUUCCACAGGCACUGGCAGUGAUUUCUCUUUUAAACUGCUCUCCCUCCCUUCCCUCCGCCUGCCUCCAUCCUAAUGGAAGCCAUCGCCUCUUCAGUUACACCGCUUCCUAAAAUAGUGUUCUGAUCGUGCCCUGGGUGCUCACUGAAAAUGCUUCAGGGGCUCCCUGCCAUCUAUUGGAAAAAGGUAGAAAUCCUUAGGCUGGCGUGCCAGGGUCCAAUCAGAAAAGCAAAACCCACCCGGGAUGUUUCCGCAGAGAGAACUUCAUGUAGGACAUUGUUAUGGGCAUGGGAAGACUGAAGGGGCAAAGAGAAGCCACUAAGACAGAGAGUGGCGGAAGCAGUUUCAACCCCUGCAGCCAGAGGGACAGAAGGAAGGCAAGCUUGGAGGAGGGCCCGGGACCCUGAUGGGGAAGAAGGGCCGUUGCUGGGCAGUGGUGGGAGAAACAGCCUUGGGGACGGCAGGUAAACCUGUCUCCUGCCUCCCAUCUUCCCUUCUCUAUCUAGUGUCUCCUCAUGGGGAAAUUUAACAGGGAACCCAGCGACAAAAGAGAUGGGGUUUGCAGAAUCCCUGCACCACAGAGCAAAGUGGUUUGAGGCUGAGUGACAUUUGCUUCCUGAUGGGCACAGGUGGCACUCUAGGUUUCUGUGUCUGACCCCAAACUCCUGACUACACUCUGACCAGCCAGCAUGUCACCUCCUGCCAAGCUCAAUUGUUCUGGAGGCCCCUGUUGUCGGAUCUUUGCCCUGCAUCACCCGUCAAAUUCAGAACCUCGUUGAAACGCUACUUCCCUGAUACCCUCUCAUACUUCCAUUCUUAAACCUUUGUUGCUGUUAAGUGUUCAGAUGAAACAUGUUUGCUUUGUGUUCUAGAAGUUUAUGUGAUUGACCCUACGUGAGCACAGAGAUUAACUGGGGUUUGUUCCAGAAACAGCAUUAAUCACAGUGCCCGGCACAUACAAGGGUCCAGAACUUGGAGCAAGUAAUUGAACUCAGGCUGUUCCCACGCAGGCCACAGAGUUAGACGAAAACAGCUUGACCCUGGGGCUUGCACUCAAAAUGAGCCUUACCCCUUUAAGAGAGGGCAGGUCUUUUCCCUCUCCGGCUCACCCCACCCCUCCUACACAGUAACUGAAACCUGAUCUAAUCCCUUUGCACGCGGGUAAUUUAUUGGUCUAUUGAGCUUUUCUUGGUGGCAAAUUGCAUUGUCUUUAUUCCUGGGUUCAGGCUCUGCAGCGGCUCACUGCAUUCCUAGGACUCCUUUCUCAGGGUGGAUCCUUCACACCCCCUUGUGCACUGCAAAAUAAGUCUUAUUGGGCUUCUUUGUCAUGCAAACAGGGCAGUAAUAAUCAGGCUAUUAUUCUGAAAGAUUGGGCUUGAUUAACAGUUCAAAGCAGGUCUCUGAAAGCAGCUAGAGCCUCAUUGGUGCAUAAAUAUUUUCAUCCUGCCUGCGUUGGUGCAGCUGGUGCUGCAAGCCCCCUGCCCUAUCUGAUUCUCAGAGGUGCUAGGUUGUUAUUGAAAGGAAAAGAACUAAGUCAGACGUGCUGUGUGGCUGUGAUUUUUCUUUCUCUUUACCUUAUCUCAGUCCAUGAGGAAGGCAGUCUGGAGCCCACCUCCCCAAAAGAGUGAAAUGUCACCUACAUACGUUUAUGUGGGUUGUGGGGCAAGUGCAUCUCCCAGGCACAGGGUCCUGGGUGGGAGGUUUAAAAAGGCAUCAAAUCUCUGAUAGGGGACCAGGAAUGGUGGCUCACGCCGGUAAUCCCAGCGCUCUGGGAGGCCGAGGCAAGUGGAUCACCUGAGCUUAGGAGUU